rnacentral:lncRNA from 1 species
CUGAGGAAUGAGGGCUCCACAGCUUCAACCUCUCAGAUGGCUCCUGUAAGCCACUCUCAUCCGCUCUUGCCAGGAACUCCAGCCUUUGGCAUCUGAAUCUGUCUGGGAAUAUUUUCACUGACCAGUGUGCUGCUGACACGAAGAUCCUCAUCCAGAGGUGUCCCAACCUCACUGAAAUCUGGCCGGGCUUGAAUGACUUCACCCUUGCAGUGGAGUGGCAGCUGAAGAA